rnacentral:rRNA from 1 species
GACGAACGCUGGCGGCGUGCUUAACACAUGCAAGUCGAACGGAAAGGCCCUGCUUUUGUGGGGUGCUCGAGUGGCGAACGGGUGAGUAACACGUGAGUAACCUGCCCUUGACUUUGGGAUAACUUCAGGAAACUGGGGCUAAUACCGGAUAGGAGCUCCUGCUGCAUGGUGGGGGUUGGAAAGUUUCGGCGGUUGGGGAUGGACUCGCGGCUUAUCAGCUUGUUGGUGGGGUAGUGGCUUACCAAGGCUUUGACGGGUAGCCGGCCUGAGAGGGUGACCGGCCACCAUGGGACUGAGAUACGGCCCAGACUCCUACGGGAGGCAGCAGGGGGGAAUAUUGCACAAUGGGCGGAAGCCUGAUGCAGCAACGCCGCGUGCGGGAUGACGGCCUUCGGGUUGUAAACCGCUUUCGCCUGUGACGAAGCGUGAGUGACGGUAAUGGGUAAAGAAGCACCGGCUAACUACGUG